rnacentral:rRNA from 1 species
AUUGAACGCUGGCGGCAGGCCUAACACAUGCAAGUCGAACGGAGUGGCGAACGGGAGAGUAACGCGUAUCAACCUGCCUAUGACAGUGGUAUCACCUCGGGCAACCGGGAUUAAUACCGCAUAUUCAUAGAUGGGCUCGCGUCUGAUUAGAUAGUUGGUUAGCUAACGGCCUACCAAGGCGACGAUCCGUAACUGGUCUGAGAGGGUGGUCAGUCAAACUGGAACUGAGACACGGGCCAGACUCCUACGGGAGGCAGCAGUGGGGAAUAUUGGACAAUGGGCGAAAGCCUGAUCCAGCCAUGCCGCGUGUGUGAAGAAGGUUUUCGGAUGGUAAAGCACUUUAAGUUGGGAGGCGUUACCAACAGAAUAAGCACCGGCUAACUUCGUGCCAGCAGCCGCGGUAAUAC